UCGAGAAUUUUUCUCAAUGGGGGAAACCCUGAAGGAGCGACGCCGCGUGGAGGAUGAAGGUUUUCGGAUUGUAAACUCCUGUCAUGAGGGAGCAAUGCUGUGGGUAGUAACUGACCUGCAGUUGAUAGUACCUCAAGAGGAAGGGACGGCUAACUCUGUGCCAGCAGCCGCGGUAAUACAGAGGUCCCAAGCGUUGUUCGGAUUCAUUGGGCGUAAAGGGUGCGUAGGCUGCGCCAUAAGUCGGAUGUGAAAUCUCGGGGCUCAACCCUGAAACUGCAUUCGAUACUGUGGUGCUAGAGGACUCUAGAGGAAACUGGAAUUCACGGUGUAGCAGUGAAAUGCGUAGAUAUCGUGAGGAAGACCAGUGGCGAAGGCGGGUUUCUGGAGAGUUCCUGACGCUGAGGCACGAAGGCCAGGGGAGCAAACG
rnacentral:rRNA from 1 species